GCAUCGGUGGUUUAGUGGUAAAAUUAGCCGUUGCCAUAGACGUUCUGUCUGUCAAUUCGGCUAGCCCCGGGUUCGAUUCCCGGCCGAUGCA
rnacentral:tRNA from 1 species